rnacentral:rRNA from 1 species
AUACGGGGGAUGCAAGCGUUAUUCGGAAUCAUGGGGCGUAAAGGGCACGCAGGCGGUUCUGUCAGUCAGAUGUGAAAGCCCGGGGCUUAACCCCGGACGUGCAUUUGAAACAGCAGGACUUGAGUAUGGUAGAGGAAAGCGGAAUUCCUGGUGUAGAGGUGAAAUUCGUAGAUAUCAGGAGGAACACCGGUGGCGAAGGCGGCUUUCUGGACCAAAACUGACGCUGAGGUGCGAAGGCGUGGGUAGCGAACAGGAUUAGAAACCCCAGUAGUCC